AACUACCACUCAGGGCCGGAAAGCUCUCCAAACUCGGUCAUUUAGAGGAAGUAAAAGUCGUAACAAGGUCUCCGUUGGUGAACCAGCGGAGGGAUCAUUACCGAGUUUACAACUCCCAAACCCAAUGUGAACGUUACCAAACUGUUGCCUCGGCGGGAUCUCUGCCCCGGGUGCGUCGCAGCCCCGGACCAAGGCGCCCGCCGGAGGACCAACCUAAAACUCUUAUUGUAUACCCCCUCGCGGGUUUUUUUUUAUAAUCUGAGCCUUCUCGGCGCCUCUCGUAGGCGUUUCGAAAAUGAAUCAAAACUUUCAACAACGGAUCUCUUGGUUCUGGCAUCGAUGAAGAACGCAGCGAAAUGCGAUAAGUAAUGUGAAUUGCAGAAUUCAGUGAAUCAUCGAAUCUUUGAACGCACAUUGCGCCCGCCAGUAUUCUGGCGGGCAUGCCUGUCCGAGCGUCAUUUCAACCCUCGAACCCCUCCGGGGGGUCGGCGUUGGGGAUCGGCCCUCCCUUAGCGGGUGGCCGUCUCCGAAAUACAGUGGCGGUCUCGCCGCAGCCUCUCCUGCGCAGUAGUUUGCACACUCGCAUCGGGAGCGCGGCGCGUCCACAGCCGUUAAACACCCAACUUCUGAAAUGUUGACCUCGGAUCAGGUAGGAAUACCCGCUGAACUUAAGCAUAUCAAUAAGCGGAGGAAAAGAAACCAACAGGGAUUGCCCCAGUAACGGCGAGUGAAGCGGCAACAGCUCAAAUUUGAAAUCUGGUCCCUAGGGCCCGAGUUGUAAUUUGUAGAGGAUGCUUUUGGUGAGGUGCCGCCCGAGUUCCCUGGAAC
rnacentral:rRNA from 1 species